rnacentral:rRNA from 1 species
AGGAGUCGGACCUGCCCGGUGAAAAAUUUUAACGGCCGCGGUACUCUGACCGUGCAAAGGUAGCAUAAUCACUUGCCUUAUAAUUGAAGGCUGGUAUGAAUGGUUUGACGAAAGCAGCUCUGUCUCUUUUUUAUUUCAUAGAAAUUAACCUUCAGGUGAAGAGGCCUGCCUAGAAUUGAAGGACGAGAAGACCCUGUCGAGCUUUAAGAGAAAAAGGAGAACCUUAUAACUAAUAAAUAUAAAACCUUUAUUUAUCUUUUGGUUGGGGCGACUAGGGAACAAUAAAAGCUUCCCUUACUUAAAAAACUUUUGUGUAAGGAUCCAGCAGUGAUUGCUGAUUGAAAGAAUUAGUUACCGCAGGGAUAACAGCAUAAUCCUUCCUGAGAGACCUAAUCGAAGGAAGGGGUUGUGACCUCGAUGUUGGACUAGGAUGUCCUGAGGGUGCAGAAGCCUUCGAGGGUUGGUCUGUUCGACCAUUAAUAAUCCU